GACUCCCGGCUCUAAGCCUUACUUGCGGUGGCCGGACUUGUCUGUGGCUGAAGCCGAGCCCGGGCUCUGACUCUCACGUCUGCACUGGAGGUGCGGAAACCUGGACUGGGGUUCACCAGCCACAUACUGGCUGCUCUGGUUGUUCUCUCCUCUUCCUUCUUCUAUUCUAACCAAACAAAACCCAACUCGAUGCUUGUGCCAGGCCUUGGCCAGUUUGGACGGUGAUGGAAACAUUUCUGGAUUUUAGCGUCUAAGGGAGCACUCAAGGGCUGUAAGGUCACAGCGGAGUGAAUCAGCUCGGUGGUGUCUUUGUCAACGGGCGGCCACUGCCGGACUCCACCCGGCAGAAGAUUGUAGAGCUAGCUCACAGCGGGGCCCGGCCGUGCGACAUUUCCCGAAUUCUGCAGGUGUCCAACGGAUGUGUGAGUAAAAUUCUGGGCAGGUAUUACGAGACUGGCUCCAUCAGACCCAGGGCAAUCGGUGGUAGUAAACCGAGAGUAGCGACUCCAGAAGUUGUAAGCAAAAUAGCCCAGUAUAAGCGGGAGUGCCCGUCCAUCUUUGCUUGGG
rnacentral:lncRNA from 1 species